rnacentral:rRNA from 1 species
ACGCUCGACACCUACGGGAGGCAGCAGUGGGGAAUAUUGCACAAUGGGGGAAACCCUGAUGCAGCAACGCCGCGUGAAGGAAGACGGUUUUCGGAUGUAAACUUCUGUUCUUAGUGAAGAUAGUGACGGUAGCUAAGGAGCAAGCCACGGCUAACUACGUGCUAGCAGCCGCGGUAAUCUGAGCGGGCUGGCAAGGC